GAUGAACGCUGGCGGUCUGCUUAACACAUGCAAGUCGAACGGAAGUAGCAAUACUUUAGUGGCGGACGGGUGAGUAACACGUAAGAAUCUGCCUCCAGGACGGGAAAAACAGUUGGAAACGACUGCUAAUUCCGGAUGAGCCGAAAGGUAAGAAGAAAUUCGCCUGGAGAUGAGCUUGCGGCUGAUUAGCUAGUUGGUAGGGUAAGAGCCUACCAAGGCGACGAUCAGUAGCUGGUCCGAGAGGAUGAGCAGCCACACUGGGACUGAGACACGGCCCAGACUCCUACGGGAGGCAGCAGUGGGGAAUUUUCCGCAAUGGGCGAAAGCCUGACGGAGCAAGACCGCGUGGGGGAGGAGGGUUCUUGGAUUGUCAACCCCUUUUCUCAAGGAAGAAGAUCUGACGGUACUUGAGGAAUCAGCAUCGGCUAACUCCGUGCCAGCCGCCGCAGUAAGAC
rnacentral:rRNA from 1 species